UUGAGGGGGCGACUCGUCGCUGACGCGCAAUAACGCGUCAGAGGAAAGUCUGGACUUCGUAGACGAAAGAUGCCAGUGAAAGACUGGGGGCCGCAAGGCUACGGAAAGUGCAACAGAAAGCAAACCGCGAAGAGUGUAGUAAUACAUUUAACGAUAGGAUGAAACGGUGAUUUCAGGAAUCACCCCUCACCAAGCAAUUGGUGCAUGAGGCAAACCCCAUCAGAAGCAAGAGAGAAGGGAUCAACGGUUUUCGUCGACUGUCCUUUCGCUAAUUCGCUUGAGUUUAUUGGCGACAAUAGACCCAGAGGAAUGACGAGUAGAGGCUUAACACCUCUUACAGAAUCCGGCUUACAGCCCCCUCAAAUUU
rnacentral:RNase_P_RNA from 1 species